UCCUAUAUAAAUUUCCUUCUUCAUUGAGCAUUUUUUUCAGCAGACUUGCCAAGAAUUUCUUUUUUUCUCUUUUUCAUUCACUAUGUUGUUAAAGCAAAGAUGGGAGUUUUUCUCCAACAAACUUCUUUUUCUUCCAUGGCCAUAUCUUAGGUUCAUGUUUUCCUUUUUCACCGGCUUCUUCCUAGACAAUGUAUCUAUCUUUAUUAUUAACUUUUGUUAGUUUUUGAGGUUAUCGACAAAAGUAAGGAAAAAAUAGGGGGAAGGGGGGUUGAGGAUGAUAUUGGCUGUGCUGUCUAACCUCCCCUUUCUCCUCGGUGGUUCUAAGAGUGAAGUUUAUUUCUAGAUGGGAUCUCCAUAUCUAUAUCUUUGAUAAGGAUAAUGUUAAAUUCUAUAGCAGGAAUAUAUCCAAACCUCCUCCCAGUUCUGCAAGUAUAUAGGAUGGUAUCCCCCCUUCCCUCCCCCUAACCACAUAGUCUG
rnacentral:lncRNA from 1 species